GCAGACAAGUUAAUUGACUAAAAGGAGGCAAGAAGUUUUCACGGAGUGAAAAGAACAGAGUUAAAAGAAAGGAGUCAAAGAAAUGAAGCUACGCUCCUACCAAAGAAUAAAAGAACACUCCCGUAAAAA